AAACCCCAUUUUGGGGUUGUCAGUGUCCUCACUUAGUCAUUGAUGUGACAUGCUUACCUCAUACUCAAUUUGAGUUUUGCAGAACUCCCACACAUUGUGUGCCCACAGGGAUUCCGUGCUCAUGGGGCAACAAGAAUGCUAUGUGUGAGUGGAACAAGUAAAGAAUGGCAGCAGCUAUGCAUGUUAUCUGUAUUUCCUCUGCUCAUGCACAUGCUCCAUUGUCCCAUCAGCCUUCACUUACAAAACAAAAGUUCAAAGAUAAAAUUAUUAGGAAUUUCAUUAUGGUGACAACAGAGCAUUAAAUGAAGUGCCAGGCCCCAAGCACCAAGCCCUUCCCAGCAUGGGUUGUAUGCAACUGUCCAGAUCACAUGCCCAUGAAGCUGGUCAUGGGGAAAGAACUUGAUCCUUUAUUGUGGUAGAAGCCUAGGGCAUGUUGGAGAUGCAGUAGACAUGCUGGCAUGGCUGGUUAUAGCAAGGAGUACAUAACAUAGCUAACAUGUAUUAGACAUGUAUUAUGUUUCAGGUACUGUCCUAAAUAUUUCAUACAUCUUUUAAAGUUUGCCAGAGGACCCUGUGAAACAGUAUUAUUAUGUACUUCAUUUUCCAGAUGUUAAAACUUAGGAAGGCUAAAACUUAGGAAGAUCAAAUAAUCUGCUCAAGCUCAGGCCUGGGUACUGGGUGACAGAGGGUAUACUCUUAACCAGCUCAUCAUGCUACCUGCAUGCAACACAAGGAGUUAUUGGAUAGGCACAUGAGGCUGGAAAAGGUAGAAGAUUCUGAGGCCCUGGGCGGGAACUAGUAAGCCACAAUCUGGAAGAGUCUUUUAUCACCAUGUGGAGACCUAGAGCAU
rnacentral:lncRNA from 1 species